ACUAUUGUGACUCUUCAAAUCGUAGAAAACGUUUGCCUUUUAUAAAGGCUUCUGUGGAGGGGAACAACAAGAGUUAUCAUAAUUUUUGAUACCACACUGAGAUGUGGG
rnacentral:snRNA from 1 species